UGCCAGCCGCCGCGGUAAUACGGAGGGUGCAAGCGUUAAUCGGAAUUACUGGGCGUAAAGCGCGCGUAGGUUGAUUGGUCAGUCAGAUGUGAAAUCCCGGGGCUUAACCCCGGAACUGCAUUUGAAACUGCUAGGCUAGAGUGUGGUAGAGGCCAGCGGAAUUCCCAGUGUAGAGGUGAAAUUCGUAGAUAUUGGGAAGAACACCAGUUGCGAAGGCGGCUGGCUGGGCCACAACUGACGCUAAAGUGCGAAAGCGUGGGUAGCAAACAGGAUUAGAUA
rnacentral:rRNA from 1 species